UCCCUUGUGGCUCAGACGGUAGAGCGUCUGCCUACAAUGCAGGAGACCCAGAUUCAAUCCCUGGGUUGGGAA
rnacentral:tRNA from 1 species